CUGAGCUGGAGGCUGCGCUAACCGUGCAGCACUGUGUCCGUCUGGGCUGCCAGCUGCGAGCACACACCGCACAGGCUGUUUUGUCAGGGUCUUUCUGGUAUAGAGAUUUUGGGGUGACCCAGGUCAGAGGCUGGAGGAACCCUCCGAAAGCCCUGGCUGCAUCCCACCACAGAGCCAUCCCUCUACUGCAACGCCUCAUUCUCCUGCUGGAGGAGAGCAAACACCCAAGCCUGCCUGCCAGCGCCCCCUGCUGGCCAAGCUUAGGUGUGUCAGCAAAACCAGCCUUUGGCCUGGAGACGGACUCGCAAGCUUGGACCACAUCGGCCUCAGCAGUUAAA